AAAGAGUUUCAGAAAUUUUAAAUCUUUGAACUAGUAAAAAUCACAUGCAGGUGGUUUAUCUGCAUUGCCUUCAUAUUGGAUAAAGAAACAAUUCCUGCAAUAUGGAAACUAGCCCUGGCUUAUGAAACCAACUGACACUGGUAAUAAUCCUUCAGGGUGAA